UCGCGGCCUAUCAGCUUGUUGGUGGGGUAAUGGCCUACCAAGGCGACGACGGGUAGCCGGCCUGAGAGGGCGACCGGCCACACUGGGACUGAGACACGGCCCAGACUCCUACGGGAGGCAGCAGUGGGGAAUAUUGCGCAAUGGGCGAAAGCCUGACGCAGCGACGCCGCGUGAGGGACGAAGGUCUUCGGAUUGUAAACCUCUUUCAGCAGGGACGAAGCGAAAGUGACUGUACCUGCAGAGGAAGCACCGGCUAACUACGUGCCAGCAGCCGCGGUAAUACGUAGGGUGCAAGCGUUGUCCGGAUUUAUUGGGCGUAAAGAGCUCGUAGGCGGUUUGUCGCGUCGGAUGUGAAAACCCAAUGGCUUAACCUUGGGCCUGCAUUCGAUACGGGCAACCUAGAGUGUGGUAGGGGAGACUGGAACUCCUGGUGUAGCGGUGGAAUGCGCAGAUAUCAGGAAGAACACCGAUGGCGAAGGCAGGUCUCUGGGCCAUAACUGACGCUGAGGAGCGAAAGCGUGGGGAGCGAACAGGAUUAGAUACCCUGGUAGUCCACGCCGUAAACGGUGGGCGCUAGGUGUGGGGAUUGUUUCCACGAUCUCCGUGCCGUAGCUAACGCAUUAAGCGCCCCGCCUGGGGAGUACGG
rnacentral:rRNA from 1 species